UCAGGCCUAACACAUGCAAGUCGAACGAAGUAGCAAUACUUAGUGGCAGACGGGUGAGUAACAUGUAGGUAUCUGCCCUUUGGCCUGGAAUAACACGAGGAAACUUGUGCUAAUACCGGAUAAGUCUUUACGGAGAAAGCUUUAUGCACCAUUGGAUGAGCCUGCACUUGAUUAGUUUGUUGGUAGGGUAAUGGCCUACCAAGACUGUGAUCAAUAGCUGAUUUGAGAGGAUGAUCAGCCACAUUGGGACUGAGACACGGCCCAAACUCCUACGGGAGGCAGCAGUGGGGAAUCUUGCACAAUGGAGGAAACUCUGAUGCAGCGAUGCCGCGUGAGUGAAGAAGGCCUUUGGGUUGUAAAGCUCUUUCGUCGGGGAAGAAAAUGACUGUACCCGAAUAAGAAGGUCCGGCUAACUUCGUGCCAGCAGCCGCGGUAAUACGAAGGGACCUAGCGUAGUUCGGAAUUACUGGGCUUAAAGAGUUCGUAGGUGGUUGAAAAAGUUGGUGGUGAAAUCCCAGAGCUUAACUCUGGAACUGCCAUCAAGACUUUUCAGCUAGAGUAUGAUAGAGGAAAGCAGAAUUUCUAGUGUAGAGGUGAAAUUCGUAGAUAUUAGAAAGAAUACCAAUUGCGAAGGCAGCUUUCUGGAUCAUUACUGACACUGAGGAACGAAAGCAUGGGUAGCGAAGAGGAUUAGAUACCC
rnacentral:rRNA from 1 species